rnacentral:lncRNA from 1 species
CAUGAAACUUAUAGCAGAAAUUAUUGCUGAAGAAAUGUUACAAAAUACUGUGUACUAUUUAAAACAUUAUUCACACUUUAAAUUUAGCCUUUCAGUUAGAACCUCCUUCUUCCAGUAAUCCACCAAAGUGAUGAACACAAAGGUAAAGAGGAGGAGAAGCACCCAAUAUAUGUUCUCUAGGCUUUUUAGAAAAUAUGGAGGUGCUCCUUUGGCCAUAUACAUGUGAACCUGUAAGAAUGGUGAUACUGCAGACAUCAAAGAAUGCAUACUGUUCAAAAAGGAAUGCCCCACAAAUGUUACCAGGGAAAAACUGGAAUAUUCUACAAUGUACCCAGCAUGCUGUUGGCAUUGUUAUAAAUAAACAAGUUAAGAACAAGAUUCUUGCCAAGAUAAUUAACGUGCAUGUUGAGCAUAUUAAGUGCUCUGACAACCGAGAUAACUUUUUGAAAUGCAGGAAGGAAAAUGAUCAGAAAAAGAAGGAAGCAAAAGAGAAAGGUAUGUGAGUUCAACUGAAGUGCCAGCCUGCUCUACCCAAAGAAGUAUACUUUCUGAGACCUAGUGCAAAGCCUGAGCUGCUGGAACCUAUUUCCUGUGAAUUCAUGGCAUAAUAGGUGUAAAAAAAAAUAGAAGACCUUUUGACUAUAAACAAACAAACUGAAAAAUAUAUAUGUCUAGACAAAACACUUUAAAAGCCCUUUACAAGGGAAUAUCCAAAUGGGAAAUAAACGUAAGAAAAGGUGAUCAACUUUAUUAUUUAUCAGGUAAGUGCAAAUUCAAAUCACAUUACAAUUCUGCUGCAUAUUCACAAUUGCUAAAAUGAAAAAAUGAGAAAAGGAAAAAAGGUAGACAUAUGGAGCAACUAAAAAUCCACACACUGCUGGUUGUACAGUAAUUUAUUCUAUCAUUUGGCAGCGUUUACUAGAGGAGAGCAUAUCCAUAACCAGCCAUUUAACUUCUAAGUAUAUUCCUAACAGAAAUGCACAUACAUGUUCAAAUGACAUGCACAGGAAUAUAAGUAAUAGUCUUAGUCAUAAUGGUAGAAUAUUGGCAACUACCAUAGGUAAAAUAUAGGAAUAAAUUUUCAACUCUUUAUCAACUAGAAUACUGUAGAACAAUGAAAGUGAAUGAACUACAACUACAAGCAACAUUAUGAAUGUAUCUCACAACAUAUGGUUGAAUCAAUAAAAUCCAAUCUUUAUUUGUAUGCUUCUCAGGAUAAAAUGUUUUUGAAAAUCUAAUAUAAUAUAUGGCAUUAAAAGGAGAAUGGAGGUUACCCUUCAGGCACAAUGAAUAAAAGGGUGCAUUAAAGGGACUUCUGGAGUGCUGUCAAUGUUCUGCUUUUUGAUCUAGGUGCUGGUUGCAUGGGGGAAUUUAAAUUGUAAAAAGUCAUCAAACCAUACACGUAUGAUUUCUCAACUUUUCUAUAUAUUAUACCUCAAAAAUUCAAAAAUGAAUGAAAAUUUUCUUAUAAUUAAACUAUGGAAAUAUAAAUGCAGUGAACUUAUUGGAACACUUCUUUUUUAUACAUACUGAUUAACAAAAAGAAUUUUCUAUGUUUUUAAUUAUCAUUUUGCAAAAAAUCAAGUGAAGAUUAUUUUGUCUUCUCUUUGCUUUCCAGAUUCUUAAGCAUUUCAAUUAAACAUCAUUGGGCAGGGGGUAUAUGGGCAAGGAGUAUGUGAGGUUGCAUUUGGCACAAAGAAAAUCUUAAUAAAUUAUAAAUAUUCAAUGUUUUAAUUUAGACCACGUUUUACAACCAUAAUAAAGUUAGAAAUUAAAAGUUCCAAUGAGUCAAAUGUAAGAGUACACAAAAAUUUAUAAAACUUAUUCAAAACAAAUAAAAUAAACAUUAAAUUACUAACAUUUAAGAAAAUUAAAUCAAUGAAAAAAAUGUGUACAAGAAAAAGAAGAUCAAUAAUGUCUCAGACCUAAAAAUCUAGAAAUCAGCCUUUGGCUCCCCCUUUCUGUCACACCUACAUACCUAGUCUAGCAACAAUUUUGCUAGACCAGGGUUUCUCAAGCGCAACACCAUUGAAAUUUUGGGCUGGAUGAUUCUUUGUAUUAGGAGUUGUCUUGUGCUUUGUAGAAUGGCUAACAUCAUUCCUGGCAUCUACCAUCUAGAUGCCAGUUGUACCACCUCCAUCCCUGGUUGUGACAAUCAAAAAGGUCUCCAUAUAUUGCCAGAUGUUCUCUAGGCACAAAAUAAACCAAUUUGAAAUGAUGGCAUUAGACCCUACCUCUUUAUUUUGAAUCCUUCCAUUUCUUUUCCAUUCCACUCCUAACUCCCUGUUCAAAGUCAGUGUCUUCUCUUGUAUGAACUAUUAAAGCAAUUUCUCUUUGUUUUCAAUCAUGGUUCUUUAUGAUUCAUUCUUCACACAGCAGCCAUAUAAAUAUAUUUUGUCACUUUUCAAUGGCUUCACUGGGGACUUAAAAUAAAUAUUAAACUUUUCACCUAUGGCUACGAGGCCUGAAUUACUUGGCAUCUCUUCAUCUUUCUGGACUUAUGUUCUGCCUUUCUUACCCAAUCUCAUGACAUUUUCGACAUCUGGAAUUUCUUCACUUUUUCUAUGUUAACUUAGCUCAUUUUCAUCUUUGGCUCUUUUGCAGGUCUCUGCCUGGAAUGCUCUUCUGGAAUGUUGCAUCACUCACCUUUCAGUUCAAAAUUAAACAUUGUCUUCUCAAAUAGUCUUUCUCUGAUCACAAGCUCUAAAUCAGUCACAUUUUAAAUUUCUUCAAACUCAAAGCAUUUUAAUUAUCUUCAUAGUAGUUAUUAUAUUUUCUUUAUUAUUAUUUGCUAUCCCUCAAAUAAAAAAAUAAAAAGGUCAGACUCAUGAAGAUCAGAGAGAUCUGACCAAUAAGAAAGGUUACUAGAAAUUCAAUGGAUGCAGGCAAUCGCAUGAUCAAGGAAGAGCAUGUCUAAAACAGUCUAAAACCAUCAGCAUAUCUCAUAUGUCUUCUUUCAUUGGGGACAUUGGAUUGAGAUUUAACAUACGAGGUUUAAAGCAAUGCAUGUGAAGCAUCAUUUAUACAAAAGUAACUGUAUUGGUCAUAAAACAUAUCCAUUUUAUACCCAAUAAUUACAUGAGAUGUAAUAUUUUCCAGCAUACUUUGCUCCAUAAUUCCAUCAAUUCCAAAUUUAUAUUUUAUAAGCAACUAGAGCAGGUCCUGAGAAAAGCAUUCCACAGAUAAAGACUCUAUUUCCUUCUGGUAAAUACCAUCAGAGGGUCUGAUAACAUGUUGUCAAGAUGACUUGACCUGAACAUUUUUCUUUUUCUGACUGCAUGUAUGUCCUCAUGGGAAUGGUGAUAAGCUGUAGGCCAGCUACUAACCCUUUUCUUCCUACUCCAAAUACACUCCCCAUCUCCCAACACAAACCCACUUUUUCAGAGCAAGUACUUUCAGAGACGUCACUUCUGUAUCUCCUGUACCUAAAACUACACCUAGCACUUAGUAGCUUAUGAAGUUUAUAAAUAAAUAAACAAAAAGUUACAAGAAAAUCUAAUGCUCAUUGAUGAUGCAAGAUAAAAUUUCAUUUAAUUAUAAUAUAAUACUAGAAUUAUUCAGAAAUAAAAUAGCAAUAAAGAGAUCUUAACAUGCCUCUAUCAAAAUUAAAAACAUAAAUAUAAAUUAUUGGCAUAUAAGAAUAAAAUAUGAUUAGUAAGACUGUUCUAGCAUAAACAUGCUCUCUCACAUACAGAAACAGACACGUAUGUCAAACCACUUGUGUGCUGGAGCCAGCUCAUAGCUUGUAAGAGCCAACUGUUUUAUUAAUUUUGUGUCAGUUGUUAAAUACAGUUGUUACUAUGAAAAUUAUAAAACAUAAAACUAAAUAAAUAAUUUAAAAAAUAAAAGUAAUAAAAAUGGAAAAACAUCACUUUCUAAUUAGUUUACUGCAUUGUACUAUUAUCUAUGCCUUCAAGUUUAUGUUUAUUGUAUCUUUGGGGUGGAAUUACUAGAUAAUUGUGUAUUACUACUCAUUUCUUUCUAACUCCACAUUUAAUUACAUUACUUUGGGAGUGUAAGAUUGGCCACAGUAAGAGUAUUUAUGCCAUAAAUAUUUUAAAAAUGCUACAAAUUAGGCUUUUUCAUUUUGUGAUGAGAGCUAGUUGUUAAAUAAACAUUUACCAGCACAUCAUUAUACCAAACUGUAUAAUAAUAUAAAGAGGAAAAAAUAGAGCAGGUGAACAGAAAAAUGGACCAAAAAAUAAAAAAAGGUUAGAAAAAAAAGAACUAUAAAAGGUUAAUGAAAUAGAGAUUGAUAAACUAAUGUCAAUUAACUUUUUUCUUAAUAACAGAAACUGUGUUGUUUGGGACAGUGAUGGCACCAGCUGGAUAUGAUUCUCAGGUUCCCUUGAAAUUAGGGAUGGCCUUAUGAUAGUUCUUGUCCAUCAGGCAUAAGCAGAAAUGUUGGCCAUUUGGGAAAAGCUUCAGUUUUAUCAGAUAUACAUUCAUACUUUGAGGCGGCUGGCAAGAUGGCGGAAUAGAAACAGCUUCGGUCUGCAGCUCCCAGCGAGAUCAACCCAGAAGGCGGGUGAUUUCUGCAUUUCCAACUGAGGUACUUGCUUUGUUCUUGAGAGUUUGAAGCUUACAUUGUCUAAAAAGUUGGGAUUCAAAGUGACAGUUGAUCCUGACUCACACGUCAAAAUAAUUCAAGAGAUUUCCUUAAGCUCUAUCGUGCUUUAAAAUCAACAUGCCUGGGAAUGUAAAUUAGUAUCGUC